CAGUAUAUUGAUUGAUGCGUAUUGCAAAGAAGGAAUGAUUGAAGAUGCAGAGGAUGUGAUAGAGUUGAUGACUCAAAGAGGCCAUUAUCCUAAUGUAGUCACUUACAAUUCACUAAUGGAUGGAU
rnacentral:miRNA from 1 species